UAGUCUGGAGAACAUCGCUGGACCUUAUGACUACCAUUCUUAUGGACUAUCUCGUUGAGGAUCUACAAUGUGAAUUUAUCAUAUGAACUACUCUUUGUAUCCUGUGUUCCCAUGUUUAUAGCUGGUGUUUCUCUACAUUCCCUUCCUCAUUAAAUGCACCUUUGUUCUGUUGAACUUUGGCUUCUGCUCAUUCUUCCAGCCUGACCCAGGCACAGGAAUAUAAACUGAGUAUUUCUGAGACUGGAGACGUACCAGGAGCAAAGCCUACUAUUCAUGUGCAAGCGGUUCCUUUUUGGAUUUUGAACAUUCAGUGGAGGAUGCAGAAAUGGAAGAUCUGUCCAGUUAUUCUGUAGCGCUUCCUGAAACUAGAGGAAGAUUGGGAUCACAGCCUUUCUAGAUGUGAAACCACCUCCAGCAGCUUUGAUUCUAACAAAGAAAUUCUGGCAGCACUUUAUUUUGAUGUUUUGUUAUUAACCAAGUUUCCAUUGGUUAGGUGAGGAAGACUCCAGGUCCAACCUUCAACUGCUGGAGGGCCUGGACGUUCCCUUUAUGUUAAUUUUAUGAUUUGCUGCCAAGUUCAUGUGUACCAUUGCUCUCUUUUGCUUCAAUAAAAUAUGGAUUUUUGUCUGA